UGAGCAGCAACGCCGCGUGAGAGGACGACGGCCUUCGGGUUGUAAACCUCUUUUAGCAGGGAAGAAGCGAAAGUGACGGUACCUGCAGAAAAAGCGCCGGCUAACUACGUGCCAGCAGCCGCGGUAAUACGUAGGGGUCGAGCGUUGUCCGGAGUUACUGGGCGUAAAGCGCGUGCAGGUGGCUCAUUACGCCCGGCGUGAAAGCCCCCGGCUCAACCGGGGAGGGUCGUCGGGGACGGAUGGGCUUGAGGGUCGCAGGGGCUGGUGGAAUUCCCGGUGUAGUGGUGAAAUGCGUAGAGAUCGGGAGGAACACCUGUGGCGAAGGCGGCCAGCUGGGCCGACCCUGACGCUGAGGCACGAAGGCGUGGGGAGCGAACGGGAUUAGAUACCCCGGUAGUCCACGCAGUAAACGAUGCAAACUAGGCGUGGGGGGACUUGACCCCCCUCC
rnacentral:rRNA from 1 species